AUGCAUGAGCCUUGUGAUGACACAGGAGAUCAUAGCGGCGAAAACAACGAAGAAAAUGGUGCAAACAGCGAAGAAAACAGCCCAACAGUCCAUCCAUAUUGUAUGUGUCACGGCGAAGGGAGCAAAUCCGCCUCGGGAUCUGGCGUGCCAGCAGCAGCAGGUGGAUCAGCCUCGGGAUUCGGCACGUCAGUAGCGGCAGGAAUAUCUGCCCCGGGAUCCAGGGCGACAGGCGUGACAGCGCGCGGUGCUGCGACAGCGAUGCCCGCGCCCUUCUCCGUGUCGGCCACGCGGCCAGCUGCGGUUGGCAGCAGCGGCUCCACCAGCCCGUGCGAGUCAGCAGCUGCCACGUGCCAGUCUACUGCUGGCCCGAUCGGCUCGCGCUUCGGGAGCCAGCCGGCUGUCUACAAGCGGCGCGAUGCGGUUCGAUCGGCUGGCGCGGGACCGGACGCAGCAGGCACUGGCUCCGGUCGGGCGGGAUCUUCUGCACCGGAUCCGCCUUCUCCACAACAGCCAGCCGCCACAGAAGAUCAGCUAGCAGCGGACCCUGCGGAAACUGAUGGCGCACGCGGAUCUGCCUCGGAUCAGGCGCAGAUUCCACCCCCUGAUCCUGCCAUGGGAUCCUCUGUGGCGCAAAACAAUGCAGCCGCACAGCAGCGUCGUACACGACUACAAUCAGGGGUAACUAAGAAAAUUAAUUACAAGCACAUAACCAAAUAUGGUAUGAUCUGUUCUACAGGUGAACCAGGUGAGCCUACCACACUUGAGGAGGCUCUUGGUGAUGAGAAGUGGAGAAAAGCAAUGCAUGAGGAGUAUGUGGCACUACAGAAAAAUAAAACAUGGCAUUUGGUUCCUCCAAAACAAGGGGAUGGAGUCUUCGACAAUUAG
rnacentral:rRNA from 1 species